GCGUGGGAACGUGCCUUCUGGUCUGGAAUAACCCUGGGAAACUAGGGCUAAUACCGGAUACGCCCUUUUGGGGAAAGGUUUACUGCCGGAAGAUCGGCCCGCGUCUGAUUAGCUAGUUGGUGGGGUAACGGCCUACCAAGGCGACGAUCAGUAGCUGGUCUGAGAGGAUGAUCAGCCACACGUGGGACUGAGACACGGCCCAGACUCCGUACGGGAGGCAGCAGGUGGGGAAUAGUUGGACAAGUGGGCGCAAGCCUGAUCCAGCCAUGCCCGCGUGAGUGAUGAAACGGCCUUUAGGGU
rnacentral:rRNA from 1 species